GGGCAAUACUGAGUUACAUAUAUAUGAUUUCUAAUUAUUUUCAAACUCUACUUAACGAUUAUUCUAGGUUCUCGUUUCUAUGAUACUAGCUGCGGCCCGCGUAAGUCCGUAAUAUCGGGAUAAAAAGUUGCCUAUAUGUUAUUCCAGUUGUCCAGCUUUCUACGUACCAAAUUUAAUUGCAAUCGUUUCAGUAGUUUUUGCGUAAAAGAGCAACAAACACACACACACAUCCUUACAAACUUUCGCAUUUAUAAUAUUAGCACGAUUAGUAGAAGGAUAGGAUUUUGCUGGACAAAUUGCGCUUUUGCGACGUAACUUGAAAUAUGGCGCGCAGCGUUGUGUUCUUUAGAAAUUCGCUUGUGGCAACAUUGAUGCAUAUUUGCCGGGGCGUUAGCUGAUUGAAACCUGUCAAUCAAUGGGCGUAUCGUUUAACGAAGAGAUAAAAAGCUGGGCAGAUUAAUUGCAAAAUAAAAUUAAGUGUACGUUUCCAAUGGGAAUCGAACCGUGGACCGCUGGGUUGAAUGCUCAUGCAAUCACCAAUACGUCCAAGAAGCUAUCAUCCCUGUUUCUUAACUAUAUUCCAAUCUGGAUACCAGAGAUUAAACGGCGAACUAAAGAACCGAAAAGGAAAAUAACUUAAAACGAGUUCUUUCUAACAAGAUGUUAAACAAAUUACUACAACGUAACAGUUAAUUAUGAAAUCUCACGACAUACGAAGCCUCUCUGUUCAGUUCUGACGCACGUUUCGUCAUGUCGACUUACAUUGUUCUCGUUCUGUAUAUUAUGUCUGUCGUUCGUGAUGCUAAAUGCUCCACGUAUUACGAUGAUACCGAUACAAAUGAAAUGGGAUCUGAUCAAUUCGAUGAUGAAACAACUGGUGACGCUGGCCAUUUCACAAGGAGCAUAGUGGUUGUGGAUAGCGACGAUAAUGAGACAAUUUUCGAAUUCGAUCCGCCGUGGAAACGUAUCGUGAAGAAGAAAUUUGCUUUCGUCGGGAUUCUGAAGGGGCUGUUUCGUGCGCUAGGUUAAAUGUGUGUGUGUUCUUUGGGGAGUUUGAGUUGCAAUAAACGGUGAAGUUAGUUAGUUUGUUUAC